rnacentral:hammerhead_ribozyme from 1 species
AUCCAGAUGACGAAUCCCAGAUAGGACGAAACACGUGUCCUGAAU